GCAAAGAAUUCAUUAAUAAAACCACCUGGAUCUGGAAGCUGCUUUGGGAGUUCUUCAGUAAGAUUCCUAAUAUCAGCUAUGUUUUCAGGACAUGAAUGAAAUCAUACACCUAUAUGCUGAAAGGACUAAUCCAGCAGAUGGGGAGAAAGAAAAUAAUAAUGCCAGAAGGGGAGAAAAGAACAGCUGGAGAAGGAGCCUUAAAUGUGUAAAUGCUGCAAUCUACUGCUCAAGUAGAAGACUAGACUUUGUUAGGAGCACUGAUACUGAGUCAUGAGAACAAGAAGGAAAAAAAUGAAGGUAUGAAGAUAGUUAACACAGGCAAACUUUUUGGUACUUUAAUAAACAAAUAACGUUGGCUCUAC